AACGAACGCUGGCGGCAGGCUUAACACAUGCAAGUCGAACGCCCCGCAAGGGGAGUGGCAGACGGGUGAGUAACGCGUGGGAAUCUACCUAGUUCUACGGAACAACAGUUGGAAACGACUGCUAAUACCGUAUACGCCCUACGGGGGAAAGAUUUAUCGGAAUUAGAUGAGCCCGCGUAAGAUUAGCUAGUUGGUGGGGUAAUGGCCUACCAAGGCGAAGAUCUUUAGCUGGUCUGAGAGGAUGAUCAGCCACACUGGAACUGAGAAACGGCCCCGACUCCUACGGGGGGCAGCAGUGGGGAAUAUUGGACAAUGGGCGCAAGCCUGAUCCAGCCAUGCCGCGUGAGUGAUGAAGGCCUUAGGGUUGUAAAGCUCUUUCACCGAUGAAGAUAAUGACGGUAGUCGGAGAAGAAGCCCCGGCUAACUUCGUGCCAGCAGCCGCAGUAACAC
rnacentral:rRNA from 1 species